AUAGCAGAAAUAAAGAGAAAUUAUGCGCUAUGGUCAUGACGUAAAGUCAUAGUUGUGACCAAUUAAUUUGACCUAUUCUUUUUCUUCCUGAAAGAACAGACCAACCUAGAGUCAGAUGCAACAGAACAAAUUACCUAAAAAGGUAAGGUAUAAGUAUUACCAAUCAGCAAUAUCUAUAUCCAACAAACACCAUUUCAAUAAGUAUUACCAAUUAGCAAUACCUAUAUCCAAAAAACACCAUUUCAAAGGGAACAAACUCAGAAGUGCCUAAACCAUGUGAAGGAAUAACAACCACAACCCAAUAUCCCAUAUUAGCCAUCCAAUGGGGAAGUUGGAGUAGAGAUUUCUUUGACCAUAUCAAAUAAAUC
rnacentral:lncRNA from 1 species